rnacentral:rRNA from 1 species
GAUGAACGCUGGCGGCGUGCCUAAUACAUGCAAGUCGAGCGAACGGACGAGAAGCUUGCUUCUCUGAUGUUAGCGGCGGACGGGUGAGUAACACGUGGAUAACCUACCUAUAAGACUGGGAUAACUUCGGGAAACCGGAGCUAAUACCGGAUAAUAUUUUGAACCGCAUGGUUCAAAAGUGAAAGACGGUCUUUCUGUCACUUCUAGAUGGAUCCGCGCUGCAUUAGCUAGUUGGUAAGGUAACGGCUUACCAAGGCAACGAUGCAUAGCCGACCUGAGAGGGUGAUCGGCCACACUGGAACUGAGACACGGUCCAGACUCCUACGGGAGGCAGCAGUAGGGAAUCUUCCGCAAAGGGCGAAAGCCUGACGGAGCAACGCCGCGUGAGUGAUGAAGGCCUUCGGAUCGUAAAACUCUGUUAUUAUGGAAGAACAUAUGUGUAAGUAACUGUGCACAUCUUGACGGUACCUAAUCAGAAAGCCACGGCUAACUACGUG